rnacentral:rRNA from 1 species
GAGCUCAAAUUUAUAAUCUGGCACCUUCGGUGUCCGAGUUGUAAUCUCUAGAAAUGUUUUCCGCGUUGGACCGCACACAAGUCUGUUGGAAUACAGCGGCAUAGUGGUGAGACCCCCGUAUAUGGUGCGGACGCCCAGCGCUUUGUGAUACAUUUUCGAAGAGUCGAGUUGUUUGGGAAUGCAGCUCAAAUUGGGUGGUAAAUUCCAUCUAAAGCUAAAUAUUGGCGAGAGACCGAUAGCGAACAAGUACCGUGAGGGAAAGAUGAAAAGCACUUUGGAAAGAGAGUUAACAGUACGUGAAAUUGUUGGAAGGGAAACGCUUGAAGUCAGACUUGCUUGCCGAGCAAUCGGUUUGCAGGCCAGCAUCAGUUUUCCGGGAUGGAUAAUGGUAGAGAGAAGGUAGCAGUUUCGGCUGUGUUAUAGCUCUCUGCUGGAUACAUCUUGGGGGACUGAGGAACGCAGUGUGCCUUUGGCGGGGGUUUCGACCUCUUCACACUUAGGAUGCUGGUGGAAUGGCUUUAAACGACCCGUCUUGAAACACGGACCAAGGAGUCUAACAUGCUUGCGAGUAUUUGGGUGUCAAACCCGGAUGCGUAAUGAAAGUGAAUGGAGGUGGGAACCGCAAGGUGCACCAUCGACCGAUCUGGAUUUUUAAUGAUGGAUUUGAGUAAGAGCACGUAUGUUGGGACCCGAAAGAUGGUGAACUAUGCCUGAAUAGGGCGAAGCCAGAGGAAACUCUGGUGGAGGCUCGUAGCGGUUCUGACGUGCAAAUCGAUC